rnacentral:rRNA from 1 species
UACGUAGGGUGCAAGCGUUAAUCGGAAUUACUGGGCGUAAAGCGUGCGCAGGCGGUUGUGCAAGACAGAUGUGAAAUCCCCGGGCUCAACCUGGGAAUUGCAUUUGUGACUGCACGGCUAGAGUGUGUCAGAGGGGGGUAGAAUUCCACGUGUAGCAGUGAAAUGCGUAGAGAUGUGGAGGAAUACCGAUGGCGAAGGCAGCCCCCUGGGCUGACAACUGACGCUCAGGCACGAAAGCGUGGGGAGCAAACAGG